rnacentral:rRNA from 1 species
GACGAACGCUGGCGGCGUGCCUAAUACAUGCAAGUAGAACGCUGAAGGAGGAGCUUGCUUCUCUGGAUGAGUUGCGAACGGGUGAGUAACGCGUAGGUAACCUGCCUGGUAGCGGGGGAUAACUAUUGGAAACGAUAGCUAAUACCGCAUAAGACUAGAUGUCGCAUGACAUUUGCUUAAAAGGUGCAAUUGCAUCACUACCAGAUGGACCUGCGUUGUAUUAGCUAGUUGGUGAGGUAACGGCUCACCAAGGCAACGAUACAUAGCCGACCUGAGAGGGUGAUCGGCCACACUGGGACUGAGACACGGCCCAGACUCCUACGGGAGGCAGCAGUAGGGAAUCUUCGGCAAUGGACGGAAGUCUGACCGAGCAACGCCGCGUGAGUGAAGAAGGUUUUCGGAUCGUAAAGCUCUGUUGUAAGAGAAGAACGAGUGUGAGAGUGGAAAGUUCACACUGUGACGGUAUCUUACCAGAAAGGGACGGCUAACUACGUG